rnacentral:rRNA from 1 species
GGUGAACGCUGGCGGCGUGCCUAAGACAUGCAAGUCGAGCGGGGCAGGUUUAUACCUGUUCAGCGGCGGACGGGUGAGUAACGCGUGGGUGACCUACCCGGGAGAUGUGGACAACCUGGGGAAACCCAGGCUAAUCAGCCAUGUGGUCCUGUCCUGCGGGGCAGGACUAAAGGGAGGAUAGCUCGCUUCCGGAGGGGCCCGAGUCCCACCAGCUAGGGGGUGGUGGAAAGGCCCAGCAAGGCGACGCCAGGUAGCCGGUCUGAGAGGAUGGCCGGCCACAGGGGCACUGGGACACGGGCGCCACCCCUACGGGGGGCAACAGUUAGGAGGCUUCCGCAAUGGACGGAAGUCAGACGGAGCGAGGCCGCGGGGAGGAGGAAGCCCAGCGGGGUGUAAACGCCUGAACUGGGGACGAAAGCUCUGUGGAUGGUGAGGAGGGUACCCAGGUAAUAGCGCCGGCCAACUCCGUG